rnacentral:rRNA from 1 species
CCCUUAGAUGUUCUGGGCCGCACGCGCGCUACACUGUUCGACGCAGCGAGUCUUAACCUUGACCGAAAGGUUUGGGUAAUCUUCAGCAAAGUCGAACGUGAUGGGGAUCGAUCAUUGCAAUUAUUGAUCGUGAACGAGGAAUUCCUAGUAAGUGCAAGUCAUCAGCUUGCGCUGAUUACGUCCCUGCCCUUUGUUCACACCGCCCGUCGCUACUACCGAUUGAAUGGUUUAGUGAGAUCUCUGGAUUGACGCUGGCUAGGGGGCGACCCUUGGCCAGACUGUUGAGAAACUGCUCAAACUUGAUCAUUUAGAGGAAGUAAAAGUCGUAACA